CGCGGGAUGGAGCAGUUUGGUAGCUCGUCGGGCUCAUAACCCGAAGGUCGUUGGUUCGAAUCCAGCUCCCGCAACCA
rnacentral:tRNA from 1 species